UACGAAGGGGGCUAGCGUUGUUCGGAAUUACUGGGCGUAAAGCGCACGUAGGCGGAUAUUUAAGUCAGGGGUGAAAUCCCAGAGCUCAACUCUGGAACUGCCUUUGAUACUGGGUAUCUUGAGUAUGGAAGAGGUAAGUGGAAUUCCGAGUGUAGAGGUGAAAUUCGUAGAUAUUCGGAGGAACACCAGUGGCGAAGGCGGCAUCCUGGACCGGCAUUGACGCUGAGGAGCGAAAGCUAGGGGAGCAAACGGG
rnacentral:rRNA from 1 species